CAUACACCAGGUCAUACUAUACCAACGUGUCCAGUUUCAUUCAGAGCAAAAUAUCUAGACUAAGCGUUUUACCUGCGAUGUUGGCAGAGCAUUCAACUUCGACCUUGUACGUCCGUCCCGUCUGAACCGCCUGCCCUAAUACAGACUUGUAGUUAGUUAUACGGGCAUACGGACGAGACAGGGUGAGCCAUCCAACCACUCAGUAUUGCUGGGUUCCAGUAAUUAUACAUGAACGAGUGUUCUUUCAAGCAUAUCAUGGUUGAUUAUUAAAUUAAAAAAAAAAAACAUUGAAGUAAAGAAGAUAUAUACAUAUAUCUGCUGUGCCGUUUAACAUAAAUUAUAUUUCUAUUCUCCUUUUUUUGGAGUUUCUUACACAUUAUCACAAGACACUCUGCUAUAUAUUUUUGUGUCUUAGUAUGUAGAUAUUAGGAACUCUUGGACUCUCAUACUCUAAGGUCAUGACAACGAUAAGGUACAUUGUAAUCAACCCCGGCUUAAGCACAAUGAGCACCUUGUACCUGACAAAUAAAACAUCUAUGUGGACGGCUUCCCGGUGGUACAAGAUUUGAAUUGUUUUUUGCACCUCUGCAUCCUGGAUCAAGACGGGUCUCUUUGUCAAUGUACCCACAGAAUAAAUGCCAAAUUCAUCCGUGGUCUUGUGUAGCCACAACAAAACAUACGUAUAUCUGUUGGUAGAUAUUAAUAGAUAAGAUAAGACUAUUACUAAUAAAGCCAAAAUGUUUAUCUUCGAACACACUAAUAAAGUAAUUAGUACAAGCAGAGUUAAAUUUUAUGUAAUUUAUAAUUUAGCA